GGGCCCGUAGCUCAGAUGGAUAGAGCGUCUCCCUCCGGAGGAGAAGGUCGCGCGUUCGAAUCGCGCCGGACUCAUCA
rnacentral:tRNA from 1 species